UGGGGAAUUUUGGACAAUGGGCGAAAGCCUGAUCCAGCAAUGCCGCGUGUGUGAAGAAGGCCUUCGGGUUGUAAAGCACUUUUGUCCGGAAAGAAAUCCUUGGCUCUAAUACAGUCGGGGGAUGACGGUACCGGAAGAAUAAGCACCGGCUAACUACGUGCCAGCAGCCGCGGUAAUACGUAGGGUGCAAGCGUUAAUCGGAAUUACUGGGCGUAAAGCGUGCGCAGGCGGUUUGCUAAGACCGAUGUGAAAUCCCCGGGCUCAACCUGGGAACUGCAUUGGUGACUGGCAGGCUAGAGUAUGGCAGAGGGGGGUAGAAUUCCACGUGUAGCAGUGAAAUGCGUAGAGAUGUGGAGGAAUACCGAUGGCGAAGGCAGCCCCCUGGGCCAAUACUGACGCUCAUGCACGAAAGCGUGGGGAGCAAACAGGAUUAGAUACCCUGGUAGUCCACGCCCUAAAACGAUGUCAACUAGUUGUUGGGGAUUCAUUUCCUUAGUAACGUAGCUAACGCGUGAAGUUGACCGCCUGGGGAGUACGGUCGCAAGAUUAAAACUUAAAUGAAUUG
rnacentral:rRNA from 1 species